UGCCCAGGCUGGGGCUGCUGCUGUAUCUGAGCUGUGGAGUCACAGCCCCGGCCUGGCCUGG
rnacentral:pre_miRNA from 1 species